AUUAAAGCUAUGAGAGGACGAGUAAAUUAGAAGUAGUCUAAAGAGAGGGGAUGUCGUGGCUGUAAGCACCCUAGAUUUACCUAAUUGAAAACUACCCUUGAGUUGUAUCUGAAAUCCUAUAUGGAGUAAAGAUGUCCGUUGAUUACGUUAUAAUCAUUAGAGUGAAGUUUAAUUAAAAAACUUUUAAUUAGGGUGGAACCGUGUGAGCAAUCAACUCUCGCCCCUAGA
rnacentral:ncRNA from 1 species